rfam:Candidatus Woesearchaeota archaeon CG1_02_33_12 cg1_0.2_scaffold_32809_c, whole genome shotgun sequence.
GGGCAGGUAGUUCAGUCCGGUAGAAUGCGCCCUUGGCUAGGGCGAGGCCCCGGGUUCAAAUCCCGGUCUGUCCA